AGUGAACGCUGGCGGUAGGCCUAACACAUGCAAGUCGAACGGCAGCACAGAGGAGCUUGCUCCUUGGGUGGCGAGUGGCGGACGGGUGAGGAAUACAUCGGAAUCUACUCUGUCGUGGGGGAUAACGUAGGGAAACUUACGCUAAUACCGCAUACGACCUACGGGUGAAAGCAGGGGAUCUUCGGACCUUGCGCGAUUGAAUGAGCCGAUGUCGGAUUAGCUAGUUGGCGGGGUAAAGGCCCACCAAGGCGACGAUCCGUAGCUGGUCUGAGAGGAUGAUCAGCCAAACUGGAACUGAGACACGGUCCAGACUCCUACGGGAGGCAGCAGUGGGGGAUAUUGGACAAUGGGCGCAAGCCUGAUCCAGCCAUACCGCGUGGGUGAAGAAGGCCUUCGGGUUGUAAAGCCCUUUUGUUGGGAAAGAAAUCCAUCUGGUUAAUACCCGGGUGGGAUGACGGUACCCAAAGAAUAAGCACCGGCUAACUUCGUGCCAGCAGCCGCGGUAA
rnacentral:rRNA from 1 species